GCAGUCAGCCAGACGAUCGCUCUUCUUCGUGCUUCGCUUCGGCGAUAAGGCGAAGGGGAGAGGAAAGUCCGAACUCCGAAGGGCAGUGCGCCGGGUAACGCCCGGGCAGGGCAACUUGACGGAUAGUGGCACAGAAAACAUACCGCCUCGGGCAACCGGGGUAAGGGUGAAAAGGUGCGGUAAGAGCGCACCGCGCCGGCGGUAACGCCGGUGGCAGGCAAAACCCCGCACGGAGCAAGACCAAAUAGGGUGGCGGAUGA
rnacentral:RNase_P_RNA from 1 species